UACGGAGGGUGCGAGCGUUGUCCGGAAUCACUGGGCGUAAAGGGCGCGUAGGCGGCUGGGGUAGUCCGUGGUGAAAGCUCGAGGCUCAACUUCGAGUCGGCCAUGGAUACUCCUCGGCUUGAGCACUGUAGAGGCAGGUGGAAUUCCGGGUGUAGCGGUGGAAUGCGUAGAGAUCCGGAAGAACACCGGUGGCGAAGGCGGCCUGCUGGGCAGUAGCUGACGCUGAGGCACGAAAGCUAGGGUAGCAAACGGG
rnacentral:rRNA from 1 species